ACCUUAAAAGUAUUUUAAAUAAUUCACAUGGUAAAUUUUUAAAAUAAAUUUUAUUGAAAAAGGAAUAAAAAUAGAACUAAAAAAGUUGUUGACAUGUACUUAAACAAAGAAACUAAAAGAACAUAAAAGGGAAAGAAAUUAAAAGAAAAUACAAAAUAGAUAAAGGAAAAAAAAAGAUGGAAAUUAAAAAAAAAUGCAAAAUCCAAAAGAAAAAGAAAAAAAUAACAAUUGAGUAAGGUGGGAAUCGAACCUAGGGAGGUAAAGAAAUAACUACAUGCCUCCACCAUUGGAACACAAUCAAAUUCUUAUUCAAAACUUAUCAUACUUAAAUAUAUAACAAUAUUUCAAAUGCUUUACUACUGUAACACAAUCACAUUCUUAUUCAAAACUUAUUAUGCUUAAAUAUAUACAAUAUUUCAAAUGCUGAAGUGAGAUUCUUUGUCCCACAUUGUAAGUUUUGGUGAAGUGGGAGGGUUUGGCUUCAUUAUAAAAAACCCCUUAUAGAGUUUUUAUGUGGUUUAAAGCAUAGAAUUAGUUUUAAUGAGACUUUAAUUAGAUUAAAAAAAAUUUUAAGUCUCCAUAAUGACAUUUUAGUAAUUAAAUUUUUAAAAAAUUUUUAGUUGAGCUUGUUUAUAAUUGUAAACGAGCUGCGCUAGAGCUGGGCUCGUUUAUGAUUUAAAUGAGCUUAAAGCGAGUGGAGCUCGAGCUUGGCUUGUUUAUGAUUUAAAUGAGCUUGAUUUUAAAUGAGCUCGAGCAGAGCUUGAUUUUAAUAAAUUUUAAACGAGUCGAGCUUGAAUCUUAAUAUUAAAGCUUGAAUCGAGCUCAAGCUUGAAACAUAUACUUGCAAGCUGAGCCUGAACAAGUCAAAGCUCGGCUCGACUCGGCUCGAUUAUACCCCUAUUGGUGGCCACAUCUCCCCUCUAAGGAGGACCUUCUAAAUCAUAUCUCCAGCACUCAAUAAGGGGGAAAUUUACAUCCCACUCUGUGCGUUUUAUUUCUUUCUUUCUUUAUUUUUUUUCUUACUUUAGAUAAUGAUCAAGUCCUUUUAGUAAUGAAGUAAACUUCGUUCACCUUUCUUUUUCGUGAUCGGAAUUUGACAAUCAUGCCUUCUCUUGCAUUUGGUAUUACUGGGGCAGUGAUAAAAUGAUUCUUGUAUCAAUGAUUUAUGCUUAUGACUAACAAUUUAACUUUGCUUUUACAUGCUAUCAAAAUGAUUAGGGCCAAGGAAUGUUGAAUCUCUUAAAUCAUUCAUUUUCGAUGAAGCGGGAAAAGCAGCAGCGAAAGCACAGCUUGACAGUGAUCAAGAUUUGUGAUCGUCAGUAAGGUAGGCUUAAAGACCUCUCAACUACACACUGUAAUCUUAAUAGGAGAGGCUUGAAUUCUGUUUUUGAGUUGACUAAUCAAGACCACAGAUUUCGUUUUUCUUCUUUCCUGAAAUAUUUUGCAAAAAUUAUGCAAGGCAAAGAUGAUUGGAAUCCUUCAGAAAUUUCAGUUGCAUGUCAUUUGUUAAUAUAUGCUUUCUCAACCAACUGCUCAGCAAACCCACCCCCCAUCCCGCCUCCCUUCUCUUUCCCUCUCGCUCUCUCUGUCUAAUUGCCCUCUUUCACGUGGUGCAGUUGAGGGACUGUAGAUGGAAGCUGAAGUGAUGGUGAAAGUGUCGCAAUGAAAUCAACAUCGUUUUACUAAACAGCCCAGCUUAGAUCCCCCGGGGGAUCAUAAGCUAAUUUUAUUGACUCGUCUUUUUCUUAUCCAUCCUGUGAUCGGAGUUUGUUUUAAUCUGCUUUAGAAGGGCACUAAUUUAGUAAUUUUGCAUUCUAGGGCAUUUGAUCUGUUACAAAAUUGUAUCAUCCUCCUACACAAGGAAUUUCAAUUGAAAGUUUGACAGUUCAUAGUUCUUAGAUUCAAUCAUGUGAAUUUAGGUUGUCUCCUCGUGGCUCCACCUACGAUUUACAAAAUUUUGGGCAUGGAAUAUUGUGAAGCACAAGGAAUUUUGUUUCUGCAAUUCUCUUGUGCUCUUAAUUUUGCUUUUAUUUUUAUAUCCGAUUCAUUCGCAUGUCUAACAAAAUUGAAUGACAA
rnacentral:misc_RNA from 1 species